rnacentral:lncRNA from 1 species
UUGUGCUCUUUCUUGUAUUAGUAUAUAAAUUAUAAAUUAAUAAAAGUUAUUUUGAUAUUUUUCAUCACAAGUUGUUUCAUCUUCUAAUGAACUCCUGUGUUGUGGUGAAGUCCUUAGGACUAUUUAGACUCGACGAAAAAGGAUUUAUCGUUUAGUCCUUAAACCUGUUCGCGACCAAAUGAUACGUUGUUACCAAGGACAACAACAUUUAUCAAGCAUAGGUCAUUGUGUGCCAUAUGGGUUGGUUGUCCUCUUAACCAAGGAGUGUGGAGACACUGAUAUGGC